UACGGAGGGAGCUAGCGUUGUUCGGAAUUACUGGGCGUAAAGCGCACGUAGGCGGCUUUGCAAGUUAGAGGUGAAAGCCCAGGGCUCAACUCCGGAAUUGCCUUUAAAACUGCAUCGCUAGAGUUGUGGAGAGGUAAGUGGAAUUCCGAAUGUAGAGGUGAAAUUCGUAGAUAUUCGGAAGAACACCAGUGGCGAAGGCGACUUACUGGACACAUAUUGACGCUGAGGUGCGAAAGCGUGGGGAGCGAACAGG
rnacentral:rRNA from 1 species